rnacentral:rRNA from 1 species
UACGUAGGGGGCAAGCGUUGUCCGGAUUUAUUGGGCGUAAAGAGCGUGUAGGCGGCCGUACAGGUCAGCUGUGAAAACUCGAGGCUCAACCUCGAGACGUCGGUUGAAACCGUACGGCUAGAGUCCGGAAGAGGAGAGUGGAAUUCCCGGUGUAGCGGUGAAAUGCGCAGAUAUCGGGAGGAACACCGGCGGCGAAGGCGGCUGCCUGGACCAGUCCUGACGCUGAGGCGCGAAAGCUAGGGGAGCAAACAGG